rnacentral:rRNA from 1 species
AUUGAACGCUGGCGGCAGGCCUAACACAUGCAAGUCGAGCGGAUGACGGGAGCUUGCUCCUUGAUUCAGCGGCGGACGGGUGAGUAAUGCCUAGGAAUCUGCCUGGUAGUGGGGGACAACGUUUCGAAAGGAACGCUAAUACCGCAUACGUCCUACGGGAGAAAGCAGGGGCCCUUCGGGCCUUGCGCUAUCAGAUGAGCCUAGGUCGGAUUAGCUAGUUGGUGGGGUAAUGGCUCACCAAGGCGACGAUCCGUAACUGAUCUGAGAGGAUGAUCAGUCACACUGGAACUGAGACACGGUCCAGACUCCUACGGGAGGCAGCAGUGGGGAAUAUUGGACAAUGGGCGAAAGCCUGAUCCAGCCAUGCCGCGUGUGUGAAGAAGGUCUUCGGAUUGUAAAGCACUUUAAGUUGGGAGGAAGGGCAGUAAGUUAAUACCUUGCUGUUUUGACGUUACCGACAGAAUAAGCACCGGCUAACUCUGUGCCAGCCGCCGCGGUAA